GUGGAUAUAGUUUAACUAAAACGCUAGAUUGUGGCUCUAAUGACAGGGGUUAAAACCCCCUUACUCACC
rnacentral:tRNA from 1 species